GAUGAACGCUGGCGGCGUGCCUAAUACAUGCAAGUCGAGCGAACGGACGAGAAGCUUGCUUCUCUGAUGUUAGCGGCGGACGGGUGAGUAACACGUGGAUAACCUACCUAUAAGACUGGGAUAACUUCGGGAAACCGGAGCUAAUACCGGAUAAUAUUUUGAACCGCAUGGUUCAAAAGUGAAAGACGGUCUUGCUGUCACUUAUAGAUGGAUCCGCGCUGCAUUAGCUAGUUGGUAAGGUAACGGCUUACCAAGGCAACGAUGCAUAGCCGACCUGAGAGGGUGAUCGGCCACACUGGAACUGAGACACGGUCCAGACUCCUACGGGAGGCAGCAGUAGGGAAUCUUCCGCAAUGGGCGAAAGCCUGACGGAGCAACGCCGCGUGAGUGAUGAAGGUCUUCGGAUCGUAAAACUCUGUUAUUAGGGAAGAACAUAUGUGUAAGUAACUGUGCACAUCUUGACGGUACCUAAUCAGAAAGCCACGGCUAACUACGUGCCAGCAGCCGCGGUAAUACGUAGGUGGCAAGCGUUAUCCGGAAUUAUUGGGCGUAAAGCGCGCGUAGGCGGUUUUUUAAGUCUGAUGUGAAAGCCCACGGCUCAACCGUGGAGGGUCAUUGGAAACUGGAAAACUUGAGUGCAGAAGAGGAAAGUGGAAUUCCAUGUGUAGCGGUGAAAUGCGCAGAGAUAUGGAGGAACACCAGUGGCGAAGGCGACUUUCUGGUCUGUAACUGACGCUGAUGUGCGAAAGCGUGGGGAUCAAACAGGAUUAGAUACCCUGGUAGUCCACGCCGUAAACGAUGAGUGCUAAGUGUUAGGGGGUUUCCGCCCCUUAGUGCUGCAGCUAACGCAUUAAGCACUCCGCCUGGGGAGUACGACCGCAAGGUUGGAACUCAAAGGAAUUGACGGGGACCCGCACAAGCGGUGGAGCAUGUGGUUUAAUUCGAAGCAACGCGAAGAACCUUACCAAAUCUUGACAUCCUUUGACAACUCUAGAGAUAGAGCUUUCCCCUUCGGGGGGCAAAGUGACAGGUGGUGCAUGGUUGUCGUCAGCUCGUGUCGUGAGAUGUUGGGUUAAGUCCCGCAACGAGCGCAACCCUUAAGCUUAGUUGCCAUCAUUAAGUUGGGCACUCUAAGUUGACUGCCGGUGACAAACCGGAGGAAGGUGGGGAUGACGUCAAAUCAUCAUGCCCCUUAUGAUUUGGGCUACACACGUGCUACAAUGGACAAUACAAAGGGCAGCGAAACCGUGAGGUCAAGCAAAUCCCAUAAAGUUGUUCUCAGUUCGGAUUGUAGUCUGCAACUCGACUACAUGAAGCUGGAAUCGCUAGUAAUCGUAGAUCAGCAUGCUACGGUGAAUACGUUCCCGGGUCU
rnacentral:rRNA from 1 species